rnacentral:lncRNA from 1 species
GUUCUUGCUGAGAUCUGGAAGGAAAUAUGAGCAAGCUUUCAAAGCUAGUUGCAUUUGUGGAAGUCGUUCAGUUUGAUUUAUUGGCAUAAAACCAAAAGCCAGAUUCUCCUUCAGGUCUCUCUCUCAAAACUGACUAGCCUGGAAUUUAGGCCACAUGCUAUUAAGAGUUGUUAUCUGUCAAAAUAUCAGGUUGUUUAUAUCUGCUGAUUUCAUGUUAUGCGUGUUUGUUUGUUUGAUCAAUUGAAACUUUUAGCUAUGAUAGAGUAAGUGGGUUGUUUACAUAUGCUGAUUUCAUGUUAUAUAUGCUUAUUUGUUUGUUUGAUCAAAUUGUAUUAUUUGUUUGUUAUGCUUACACAUAUAUUAUAGCUUUGCUUCUCUUAGUGUACAAGGCUUGGUUUGGGAAUAUCUAGUGAAAUGUUGCCUAAAGAGUCACUAAGUG